AUGAACGCGAGUCUCCCAGCGAUGCCAUGCGUGGUGCUCCAGCGCGACCGCUUCGUGUGCUGCCUCGAGUCGCAUGGCCACCAUGCCCGCGCCGAGGCGAAGGCCGCUGCCACUCUCAACGCCCUCUGCUGCGCACUCUCGCCGGUGGCGUUUGCAAAGCCUUGUUGUGGCGCUGCAAGUGUUGCCCCCCUCCUCCCCAAGGGCAAGGUGAAGGAAGGUGCAUGUGUGGUUCUUCAGCAGCUCGCAGCGAGGAUUGCUGUGUCCAACCUGCAGAAGUAUGCCAAGAAGUUCUCGGAGAUGAUUAAGGACAUGUCCCCGCACUACAACAAGAGAUCUGAGCUGUUUGGAAGUUAG
rnacentral:rRNA from 1 species